CUAAAACGUCCGUAGCCUGUUCUGUAGUUUUCGGGUAAAUCAAUAAGCUCACUUAUGGGCUGCCGAGAUCACUGGCAGACUUGGGAGCGGGAGAGGUGUACGGUACUCGGUGGGAAGGGGUAAAAUCCUUUGAUCUAUUGAUGACCACCUGUGGCGAAGGCGGUCUACCAGAACACGAUUCGACGGUGAGGGAUGAAAGCUGGGGGAGCAAACCGGAUUAGAUACCCGGGUAGUCCCAGGUGUAAACGAUGCGGACUUGAUGAUGGGUUGGCUUGUUGCUUCCGCAGUGUCGCAGGGAAGCCGUUAAGUUUGCCGCCUGGGAAGUACGUACGCAAGUAUGAAAACUUAAAGGAAUUGGCGG
rnacentral:rRNA from 1 species